GAUGAACGCUAGCGGCAGGCCUAAUACAUGCAAGUCGAACGUGAUUGUUGUAGCAAUAUGACAUGAAAGUGGCGCACGGGUGCGUAACACGUAUGCAAUCUACCUUUAACAGGAGAAUAGCUUCGAGAAAUCGGAAUUAAUACUCCAUAACAUUACGGAAUGGCAUCAUUUUGUAAUCAAACCUCCGGGGGUUAAAGAUGAGCAUGCGCAACAUUAGCUAGUUGGUAAGGUAAUGGCUUACCAAGGCUACGAUGUUUAGGGGGUCUGAGAGGAUGAUCCCCCCCACUGGUACUGAUACACGGACCAGACUCCUACGGGAGGCAGCAGUGGAGAAUAUUGGUCAAUGGACGAAAGUCUGAACCAGCCAUGCCGCGUGCAGGAUGGCGGCCCUCUGGGUUGUAAACUGCUUUUAUACGGGAAGAAAAAGCGCUACGUGUAGUGCACUGACGGUACCGUAAGAAUAAGGAUCGGCUAACUCCGUGCCAGCCGCCGCCGUAACAC
rnacentral:rRNA from 1 species